rnacentral:pre_miRNA from 12 species
CGCCGUGCUCUCAGGGUCCAGUUUUCCCAGGAAUCCCUUAGGCUACGUUGGGGAUUCCUGGAAAUACUGUUCUUGGGGCCACGGCU